AAAACAAGUGUUCUGUAAUCGUAUAAUAAGGCUUCAUUUAACCGCUAGCGCGUUGAAAACGACUGUUACAUUCAUUACAAUAGUGUUCACCGAAAAGAAAGUUAUUCUAAAGAAAUCACAUGGCCUUUCGGUUUUAAUUUUUACCAGCACUACAAUCGUCAUCGAGUCCACCAACCAGCGUUGUGGGCAUGUUUCGCGCCAACGGAAGAAAACCGAACGCAGAUCUAAAAAUUCUGUUUUAAAAAUUUCUACUUACUUUCCAGAGAAACCGCUGCAAGGUUGGACACUUCAGACGGUACGCUUUCUAUUGCGGUACAAAACAGAAAAGUGAUGAAUGACGGUAGACUGUCCCUUUAA
rnacentral:lncRNA from 1 species